rnacentral:misc_RNA from 1 species
AUAUUAUUACAAUAAAUAUCAAGGUGUAUACGCAUAAAAAAAACAUAAAACGUUUUCUAAUUAAUAUUUUUGUACAUUUUUUCUUCGGUCUAGCAAUAUAGCAAGUAGAGACCAUCCAGUAUCACUCCCCGAGGUCCAGACUCCACAUUGCCACAGUCGUCAUUCGGUACUAUGCCUAUUACCUAUAUAAUAUAGUCCGUGGGAGCUGUGCAUCAAAAUUCGACAUCAGUAAUAUAGGAAUUAUAUAAUUUACUAGUCACUGUACUGAAUUGAAUUCAACCACAAUAAAUACAAAAUAGGUAAAAAAAAUGGACACCUUACAGACUUCAUCAUGUGAAAGUGAUCCAAAGCAAGUUCUGACAUCCAAAGAAUGUGAACCAACAAAUUUUAAAAAUAACGCUCACUCAGUCAGAAUACUAGAAGAUUUACAAUCUCUGCGCAAAAACGAAGUCUUAUGUGAUAGUAGAUUUGAAACUGAUGAUGGAUGUGCAACGUUUGGUCAUAAAAAUGUUUUAAUGGCAGCUAGUCCAUAUUUCCGUGCAUUGUUCAAAUCUCGAAAAAUUUGUAAAACCGGCAACAACACCGUUAAUAUAAAAAAAUUAGAUUCUACAGUUUUACAACUAUUAUUGGACUAUAUUUAUACUGGCGAAAUUAUAGUCACAAAAGAAAAUGUACAGGGUUUAUUACCAGCUUCAAACCUCUUACAGCUAGAGUUCGUAAAUGGUGCAUGUAUUGAGUUUUUACAAAAACAGUUGGAUGCGUCAAACUGUCUUGGUAUCAGAGUGUUCGCUCGUUUACAUAACUGUACGGAAUUAUUAGCGAGUUCUGAAACAUUAAUAAAAAAACAGUUUCUGGAAGUGGUUAAAAGUGAUGAGUUUCUAUCAUUAUCUUUCGAAGAUGUUGUUAAGAUUAUCUCAUGUAAUGACCUUGCUGUUCCAUAUGAAGAAAAAUACACUAAUGGGUGGUUUAACAAAUAAAUAUUACACACGUGUGCAACGGUCAACGCAAAUCACAUUUAUAUAGCUUCCGAUAGCAGUAAAAUUCGACAAGCAGCAAUCAAGAAGACGUAUAUUCAUUUAUCGUAAAACCGUAACGUCGACUGGCUUGUGUGUGCCGAUCGGCGUCGUACGCGGUGGACAGUCCCCACCGCGUAUAUUAUUAUCAUUUAUGUCAAUAAAGGAGAUAAUUAUUAUAAUGACUGUGCUGUAUCGAUGUACGAUAUACAACACCUCUCCCCUAACUUUAAAUAAUUUGAUUAGCUUUUGAUUUUAUAUAACCGUGCUUAUUCUACUUAUUGACUAAAACUUACAUCUAAUUUUACAUUUUUUUUUUGUGUAUAACAUCUAUAUAUACCAUAUAGUCUAUGUCGUGUAUACCAUAUUUUACAUGCUAAUUUAUCUAUGUUAUGAAAAAAAAAGUAUACAUGCAUAUAAACAUGUAGCGUCGAUUUUAUUUCCUAAAAUCUACUGUUGUAUAGCGGUCGGGCGAUCUUUUCAUUCUAGUCGGGCGAGAACGUCCGGUUGAGAUUGUCUCGGGUUCCCUGUCUGGCCCGUCUGUAUCCUUCCCGGUCCCCUCUGGAACUAUUUUCCCCCUUGGGUCGGGUGGGUUCACGCUAC